rnacentral:rRNA from 1 species
UACGUAGGGGGCUAGCGUUGUCCGGAUUUCUUGGGCGUAAAGAGCGUGUAGGCGGCCAGGUAGGUCUGCUGUGAAAACUUGAGGCUCAACCUCGAGACGUCGGCGGAAACCAUCUGGCUAGAGUCCGGAAGAGGAGAGUGGAAUUCCUGGUGUAGCGGUGAAAUGCGCAGAUAUCAGGAAGAACACCCGUGGCGAAGGCGGCUCUCUGGGACGGUACUGACGCUGAGACGCGAAAGCGUGGGGAGCGAACAGG